AUUGAACGCUGGCGGCAGGCCUAACACAUGCAAGUCGAACGAGUGGCGGACGGGUGAGUAAUGUCGGGGAACCUGCCUGAAGGAGGGGGAUAACUACUGGAAACGGUAGCUAAUACCGCAUACCAUCAGAUGUGCCCAGAUGGGAUUAGCUAGUUGGUGGGGUAACGGCCCACCAAGGCGACGAUCCCUAGCUGGGCUGAGAGGAUGACCGGCCACACUUGCACUGGGACACGGUCCAGACUCCUACGGGAGGCAGCAGUGGGGAAUAUUGCACAAUGGGCGCAAGCCUGAUGCAGCCAUGCCGCGUGUAUGAAGAAGGCCUUCGGGUUGUAAAGUACUUUCAGCGGGGAGGCGUUACCCGCAGAAGAAGCCCCGGCUAACUCCGUGCCAGCAGCCGCGGUAAUUC
rnacentral:rRNA from 1 species